rnacentral:rRNA from 1 species
GGGUUGUGAGGUUAAGCGACUAAGCGUACACGGUGGAUGCCCUGGCAGUCAGAGGCGAUGAAGGACGUGCUAAUCUGCGAUAAGCGUCGGUAAGGUGAUAUGAACCGUUAUAACCGGCGAUUUCCGAAUGGGGAAACCCAGUGUGAUUCGUCACACUAUCAUUAACUGAAUCCAUAGGUUAAUGAGGCGAACCGGGGGAACUGAAACAUCUAAGUACCCCGAGGAAAAGAAAUCAACCGAGAUUCCCCCAGUAGCGGCGAGCGAACGGGGAGCAGCCCAGAGCCUGAAUCAGUGUGUGUGUUAGUGGAAGCGUCUGGAAAGGCGUGCGAUACAGGGU